UACAGAGACUGCAAGCGUUAUUCGGAUUCACUGGGCGUAAAGGGUGCGCAGGCGGUUGGGUGUGUCAGAUGUGAAAUCCCGAGGCUUAACCUCGGAACUGCGUCUGAAACUACUCGACUAGAGUACUGGAGAGGGUAACGGAAUUCACGGUGUAGCAGUGAAAUGCGUAGAUAUCGUGAGGAACACCAGUGGCGAAGGCGACUACCUGGCCUGUUCUUGACGCUGAGGCGCGAAAGCUAGGGGAGCAAACGGG
rnacentral:rRNA from 1 species